rnacentral:rRNA from 1 species
GACGAACGCUGGCGGCGUGCUUAACACAUGCAAGUCGAACGGAAAGGCCCUGCUUUUGUGGGGUGCUCGAGUGGCGAACGGGUGAGUAACACGUGAGUAACCUGCCCUUGACUUUGGGAUAACUUCAGGAAACUGGGGCUAAUACCGGAUAGGAGCUCCUGCUGCAUGGUGGGGGUUGGAAAGUUUCGGCGGUUGGGGAUGGACUCGCGGCUUAUCAGCUUGUUGGUGGGGUAGUGGCUUACCAAGGCUUUGACGGGUAGCCGGCCUGAGAGGGUGCCCGGCCACAUUGGGCCUGCGAUACGGCCCAGACUCCUACGGGAGGCAGCAGUGGGGAAUAUUGCACAAUGGGCGGAAGCCUGAUGCAGCAACGCCGCGUGCGGGAUGACGGCCUUCGGGUUGUAAACCGCUUUCGCCUGUGACGAAGCGUGAGUGACGGUAAUGGGUAAAGAAGCACCGGCUAACUACGUG